UGGCCGAGUGGUUAAGGCGACAGACUCGAAAUCUGUUGGGAUUUUCCCGCACAGGUUCAAAUCCU
rnacentral:tRNA from 1 species